rnacentral:snoRNA from 1 species
UUUCCUCUUAGAACACUUGCUGGGUCUGGUGUGUGGCCUGGGGAGCUGUCAGGGAAGGGCAGAACAAUUGUCCAUCACUAUGGGUGAGGUGGCAGCAGGGUGUGCUGUCUCUCUCAGUCAGUUGUGGGACAGAC